AGAGUGGGAUGGCUAGUUUAUGUUAACAUGGUAUUUGAAACGGAGACCUGGCCAAGUAGGGGAGCACACUGUGUGGUAUCUGGAAGAAGGCAGAGAGAACAGACAAUGCGAAGGUCUUGAGGAAGAGAGGAAGAAGCGCAUUUGAGCUUUGUUUUGUUAGAGCAGUGGUUCUCCAUCAGGAUCCAUCCCCCACCCCACGCCAACCCCUGGAGGACCUUCAGCAACGUCUGCAGGACAACCCCUCCAGAACAAAGCAUAUGCUAACAGUGCUAAGACUGAGAGACCCUGUGUUAAGCACGCAGAAGAAGCCCAUGGAAGAGAGACUGAAGAUGAAGCCAGAGAGGAGGCAGAGACCAAGGCCAUGCAGAACCUUGUAGAUCAUGAAUCACUGCAGUUGAAUGAAUGGCCUGCAUGAAUGGAAAUAGAAGAUGAAGUCAGAAUCAAGCCCAGGGACACUGCUUCACCAAAUCAGAGAGAACGGGUCUUCAAUAUAGGAAGAGACAGCAACAGUAAGUGAUGAAUUUACUUGGAAUGCCAUGUUUCAGAUACCUCAUGCUUGGUAGCUGACUUACCCUGUUAGAACUAAUUUCCUAUAGUGGUCAUGCAGACCUCUGGCCUCUGGAGGUCAGGCCCAUACUUAUUCUGAAAGUUUCAGCCCUUAAUGUUACUCUUCAAAGAGCAUCUCCCUGGUCUUUCAGUAUAAAUUGAAAGCCCUACUAAAAUGUCAGCUCACAGGGAAUAGACAAAACCAGAGAGUAGAUUAUAUUGCUUAAAAAAAUAUAUGUAAAGUAUGACAUGAGAGAUAGAGAGAAACCCUGGAAAACACCAGUAUUUCAAAGGAUAGAGAGGAGGAGGGAAGUUACAGAUUGGUGGCUAAGAUUAUAAUAGCUAACAUUUUCAAGUGAUGGCCAUGUGCCAGGAAUUCCAUUAAGUGUUUCUUCACAUGAUGUAUUUUAUCUAUUCAUGGAAUGUUUAUUUCCAUAAGGUAAAAUGCCGCAUGCUGAUUAUUUCUUGUUAACCAGACAGACACUUUAGGUGUCCUGGAGUCUGUACUACCUGGGGUAGAAAAUACCAAAUAACUAGUUAUACAACCCUAACUGUGAUAACAGUAUAACAGAGAAAUACUGAACCCUGUGAACAGUGAAAUAGGGAGCUCAGCCUAGCCUAAAAUUAGAAAACUCAAGGUUCUGGAAUAUUAGAUUUCUGGAAUAUUAAAAAACUCGAGGAAGUCAGGGUUUGGUAAGGAAAGAGAACACCCUGAGUUUCAUUUGAGGCACACAGAGUUUGUGGAUGCCUGUGAACACAAGUAGGUUUGUAGAUAGAUGGCUGGCUGUGUAGCUCAGAGGACAAGUCUAGCUAGAAAAACUAGUGUAGGAGUCACCAGUGCAGAGGUAAGAACUGAAUCCAUGGACAUGGACAAAAUGACCCAGGGAAAGAAUAAAACAUGAGAAGAGGGUUUCAAGAAACCACAGCCACUUAAAUACUAAAUAAAAAAGGAUGAACCAGAGAAGGU